rnacentral:rRNA from 1 species
UNAGGGAAAGCUGCAAAGUACUCUGAAGAGAGAGUUCAAUAGGACGUGAACCCGUCUGCAGGGAAACGGCUGAGACCGCACGUUCGACCUACCGCGGAUUCAGCCCGAGGGUCGCCCUUCGGGUCGACUUCCGCGACGGUAGGCUGCGUGGGGAUCGAUUUUCGCCUCGCUUAAAGUCGAAGGGGGCGGUAGCGGGAGGAUUCGUCUUUCCGCGAUAUACCCCUUCGUUCGUUGGCCGAGGCGGAGAUCGAGGAAUUUGCCCGUCCGUCUUUUCGGAGACGACGGGACCGAGGGUCGUCGCGAAGGUUCGACUGGAUUGGGGCUGGUCUCCGACCGGCCUCGUUCGACCGCCGUCGCGUUCUUUUCCGCGGUCUCGGUCUGCGGCGGCGUGAUCNNCCACGCUCAGGUCGGCACCUCAACCGACCC